CCUACGGGAGGCAGCAGUGAGGAAUAUUGGUCAAUGGGCGAGAGCCUGAACCAGCCAAGUCGCGUGAAGGAUGACGGCCCUACGGGUUGUAAACUUCUUUUGUCAGGGAGCAAUUGGGUCCACGCGUGGGCUUAGCGAGAGUACCUGAAGAAAAAGCAUCGGCUAACUCCGUGCCAGCAGCCGCGGUAAUACGGAGGAUGCGAGCGUUAUCCGGAUUUACUGGGUGUAAAGGGGGCGCAGACGGCAGCGCAAGCCAGGAGUGAAAGCCCGGGGCCCAACCCCGGGACUGCUCUUGGAACUGCGCGGCUGGAGUGCAGGAGGGGCAGGCGGAAUUCCUGGUGUAGCGGUGAAAUGCGUAGAUAUCAGGAGGAACACCGGUGGCGAAGGCGGCCUGCUGGACUGCGACUGACGUUGAGGCCCGAAAGCGUGGGGAGCAAACAGGAUUAGAUACCCUUGUAGUC
rnacentral:rRNA from 1 species